GCCGGCGUGGUGAAAUUGGUAGACGCGCUAGACUCAAAAUCUUGUAUCCGUGAGGAUGUGUCGGUUCGAGUCCGACCGCCGGUACCA
rnacentral:tRNA from 2 species